rnacentral:lncRNA from 1 species
GAGCCAAGAUUGUGCCACUGCACUCCAGCCUGGGCGAAAAAGAGAGGCUCCAUCUCAAAAAAAAAAAAAAAAAAAAAAAAAAAAAAAAAAAAAAAUUCCCAUUGUUUUACAGUGAGAUACAUUGGAACUAUUAACUAAUUUUUAACAAUUCUGGCUGCUUCCUUCUCUGUCUCUCUCCAGCCUGCAACCCCUUCAAGUGAAGCUGUUUUAUGCUGGAUGCCUCAAGGAAGAGAGGACAGCAGAAAGAGAUGUCCUGGCUUUCGACUUUUAGAAACCUAGCUCAAAGUGAGAAAAGUGAGGGGCAGGAAAAAGGGUCCAGGGAAAGAAGUAAAAAUGAUGUAAGAGAAUAUCUCACUGCCAAGACUAGCAAAUGGGGACCUGGGAGGUUCAGAGGUUAGGAUCUGAGAGGACCAGGACUGGCCUCCGAGGCACUGUGCCUGGAGCGGAGACAGCAUCCAGGGAGCUCCAAAAUUCCUUGUAGAGAAGCUGAGUCAGCACCCCUGGUCCACAGAGUCUCCAUCUAAGGGUUAAGAUGUGGAUCAAGAAAGGUCUGGAAGGCUGCAGGGCUUCAGGAGGGAAUACAGGAGGCCACUCAGCCUGGGACAGAAUUGUUCAAUGGUUUGAACCCAAACACUGGGAGCACUCAAUAGAAAUCUGUCAUGGUUUGGCAAGAGUGGGUUGGUGUUUCCAGAGCUGACUGGAUCCCUCUCUACCUCUUCUCUCUCUCUCUGCACCUGCUUCAGCCUUUCCUGUCACUGCCAAAGAUCUUUUCCUGCUCCUCAGUCUAUACGGCCUACCAUGGCUGCUCUCAGACUCUCAUACAUCCUUGAUUUCACACCCAGAGCCAGACUGACUUCUUUCUCGGGUCUCAGCACCUUAUUCCUGAAGCCAUUUGUGAUUGGCCCAGCUUGGAUCAGGUAGGUGCCCAUCAGGCAUUCAUCCCUGGACCAAUCUGCUGCACGUGGGGGUGAAGUCCAUUGUAUUAAGUCCGCAGAUACUCCAAUCUAUGAUGGGAGUGAUGAGAUGGUAGGGGUGGGGUGGUCUCUGAGCAGACCAGGUAAUUUCCCUUAGGCUGCUCCUGGGAGACCAUGAAUAUUCCCCCUGGCUUUCAAGGCUUGCCACACCUACCAUCUUACCUCUGCCACUGUCUGCUCAACAUGCCUGCCUGCCUCAUUCAGUCUAUCUUUCAAUUAAAAAGAGGGUUUUUUGUUAUUGUUUUGUUUUUGAGACAGAAUCUCACUCUGUUGCCCAGGCUGGAGUGCAGUGGCACAAUCUCUGCUCAUUGCAACCUCCGCCUUCUGGGUUCAAGCCAUUCUCCCUUCCUCAGCCUCACGAGUAGCUGGGAUUACAGGUGCCCGCUACCACUGCCCAGCUAAUUUUUGUAGUUUUAGUAGAGACAGGGUUUCACCAUGUUGGCCAGGCUGGUCUCGAACUCCUGACCUCAGGUGAUCAGCCCGCCUUAGCCUCCCAAAGUGCUGGGAUUACAGGCGUGAGCCACUGUGCCUGGCCUAAAAAGUUUUUAUUGUGUAUUUUUCUUAACACAAAAGCAGCACAUGUUCACUGUAGAAAGACAGACUCUUAUGUGCCCAGAAGCACAAGUCUCUUGGAUUCAGAAAAUAAAAAAUGAUGUGGUCCAGAGAGGGAGGUGAACAAGUAACUCAGUGACAUUUGUACUGAGCAUUGUGAUUGGGCUCGUCUACUCCACUAAAGGGCCAGGCACUCCAGAGCAGAGACAGUAUCCACCACAGCAUCAAAACAGUUCAAAGUAGUGCACAGGUUUUCUGUAAGCACCUGCCUGACUCAAUGAACGACUGUACCCCUAGGCUCAGCCUGGCCAGGGUGGCCAGAGUGGCUGGGAAAUCUACUCAACCAGGGACAGGAUUGUUUAAUGGUUUGAACCCAAACACUGGGAGCACUCAAUACAAAUCUAUUGUGGUUUGAUAAGAGUAGGUCGGUGUUUUCAGAGUUGACUGCAAGAUCAGGCUAAUGUACUGUGGGCAACGACCCCCAAUCCAAGCCCGAGUUUCCUGGAUUGUGUUCAGGUUUGGGAGAGUUCAGGGGGUAUUUUCCCAACUGGAGCCCUCUUUGGGUCCCCAUGGCACCCUGAACCCAUUUCCAUUACAGCCCCCUUAGACUCUUGGGGCACUUUCUCAUUCACACCUUGGUUUGCCUCUGGCAGAGACCCAGAGAAGGCAAAGACCUUUUCUUGUACAUCCCUGUAUCCUUGAGAGCUUCCUUCCAGAGAGAUGCAGUGCCUCCCUUCCAGAGGAAGGAAAGAAGGAAGGGAGGCUGGGGGAAGGAAGGGAAGGAGCCAAUCUGCUUUUGUACACUGGGAAAAACGAACCUCUUCUUAAGGCGCACAAGCUCCGCCCCUCUUCAGGGUCGUGCACGUAUUCGCCAUCUUCCGCGACUGUCACCUGUGGACGGCUAACAGCUCAGCCCUUCACUGGGCAUUGCGCUUGGCUGCAGGGAACUGCUUUGCCCAAAGUUAUGGCUCUAUCUGUGUGGCCUGUGGCCAGUGACUGGCAGAUGGAGGCACAAAGGCCAGCCCUUUGUCUCAAUUAAGGACAACUCUGGAGCAUCCUGCAAGACUGGAUGAGGUGUCUGUUGCAACCACAUUUGGGGUCAUUUUCUCUCCGCCCAAUCCUGUCUUCUCAGUUUCCUUACAGAUAUAUCUCCUGAGAGCACUCCCCAAUAAACCUGCGUGUACCUCCUUGUCUCAGUGUAUCUUUCCAACCGAAGACACUCACCUCGCAGACUCUGGGAACCCGCAGGAUAUCUGGAGCCUCCAUUAAAGGCUGUGGUCACUCACCCACCUGGGACUCCCUUUCCUAGAGACCAAGGAAACUCUGCGCACCGUUCUCAACACCAGACCGUGUGAGGCUGAGGGAGAGGCACUGGAAUGACAGAAUCUGGAAGCCCUGGGUUCUGCCACUGGGUGGCAGAAGAGAGAAUGCAUGCCUUCACUCAGGCGAAGGGGGAAGCUCCUUAUAAAACCAUCAGAUCUUCAGUGAGAACUCACUCACUGUCACGAGAACAGCAUGGGGGAACCGCCCCAUGAUUCAAUUAUCUCCACCUGGUCCUGCCCUUGACAUGUGGGGAUUAUUACAAUUCAAAGUGAGAUUUGGGUGGGGAUACAGAGCCAAACUAUAUCAGGUGUUCUCAAAGUGUGGUUCUGGGACCAGCAACAUCAGCAUCACCUGGGUGCUUGCUAGAAAUGCAAACCCUCUAGAUUCACCCCAGACCUACUGAAUAAGAGACUCUGGGGGUGGGCCCAGCAAUCUGUGUCUUCACAAGCCCUCAGGACGUUGUGACUCAGGCUAAAGUUUGGGAACCACUGCCCUCAACCACACUAACUCAGACUACGCAGCUCCAGAGAAGGGCCUUUCCUGGGCCUUUCAGGCGCCCAGUGACAAGGUAACCUCCAGGGCUCUUAGGAAGGAUCAUGGAAAGCCCAGGGCACAAAAUCUCCAGAGUUUCUUAUAGAGCUCAGUGGGUUCCAACCACUUGAACUUGUCACCACCUAAACCCUGGAGUUAAUUUACUCUCUGCUUCAUUUCAUUCGUUGGUCUAAUCCAUAGCUGCAAUUUUAUAAAACACAGACCUGGGCUGGGGAGUUUUUCAGGGUCCCAUUCUGAAAUAAAUCAUGGCAGUUGGUGGGCUAUAUGACACAUGCAUGGGGUGUCUGGAAGCAUCUGAGUUCUACCUCAGUCCAUGUAAGCCGAGGUGGGGUCUUUUUAGUGCAUCAAGAGAGGUGCCUCUAUUGAGUUCAAUAGGUCCUUUUGGGGAAUCCAUCUGCUUCCCUCAUUUCUAUCCAGGUUGAAGUGGGCAUGUGGGACUUUUGUAAAGAAACUGUAAUCCCAGGGUUGCUGCAUGGAGUAAUUGCAGGGAAUACCAUUGUGCAAUGCGAGGUCUGCAUGGCCACACAUGAUGGUCCCAGAACACUGUGUUAGUCCAUUCUUGCAUUGCUAUAAAGAAAUGCCUAAGAGUGGGUAAUGUAUAAAGAAAAGGAGUUUUAUUGGCUCACAGUUUUACAGGCUGCACAGGAAGCAUAGCAGCUUCUGUUUCUGGGGAGGCCUCAGGAAACUUUCGAUCAUGGUGGAAGUUGAAGGGUAAGCAGGUACAUCUUACAUGGCCAGAACAGGAGGAAGAGAGAGAGGAGGGAGGUUCCACACACUUUUAAACAACUGUCUCAUGAGAUAGUGAGAUCUCAUGAGAAUUCACUAUCUCGAGGACAGCACCAGGCAGGGGAGGCCGGGGAGGAUGGUGUUAAGCCAUGAGAAACCACCCUCAUGAUCCUAUCACCUCCCACCAGGCCCCACCUCCAGCACUGGGGAUUACAUUUCAACAUGAGAUUUGGGUGAGGACACAGAUCCAAACCAUAUCAGACCCCUACCCUCCUUGCUGUCACUCAGAAAAAGGACAACCCCUUCUUUUCCAACCCCCAUCCCCAACUGGCUUCACAGAUGGGCAGGAAGCUCCUCAAAUGUGCCCAUCAGAAGGAUGGCUGGGCGAAGGUAGGCCACUAUCUGCUCCCCACCAAGCACCACAGCCCUGGUGGUCUCCAGAUUGCAUCUCUGGUCACUGCCUCAGCUCCCAUGGCUUAUGCUUCCUGGGGGAGGGUGUAGAUAAUCUGGGUACCCACCCACUCCGCACUUAUCCAUGACCCACUCUCUCCUCCCUCCCUCCCUCAGCCCAGGCAGCAGUGCCUCUGCUGUGGCAGCCCUCCAUCCAUCCUCAUCAUUCAGAGGCCUCUGAAAGUAUGCCUGUCAAUAUAAUGCAUGGCCUGUUGAGGGGAAGUGACAUUUUGAAUAGUGGACACUUUCUGGGAGCAUUCAUCCUAGGUCAGCCUCGUGAUAAAUAAAUACAUUUGGAGUUUGAAGUCAGCAGGCAGGAUACAGGGACCAGAACACAAGCACAGAUGCACACACCAUAAGGCUGAGUUGAUGGGGUGGACAUAGGAUGUGACAGAAAGGGAAAGAGGGAAGGCCCCACAAGCAGAUUUUGGGGGCAAUUUAUUCUCUUUCUUCCUGGCACCUCUAGGGAAAACAGGAAGCAAAAGAAGCUGCAAUUUCCUUUAUUCCUGAACCACAAGAAGGUCCCUGUUUCCUACCACCCUGUCUGUUCCUCACCUGUGCCUCUCCACACCCCCCAAACCCCAGUCCCGAUCUUAAUUACCCCUAACAGUGCCCUAAACAAAGUAUUUAUAAGGCUUACUGUGUUUGUCCUCCCGUUCCUAUUAAUAAAGUCUGGGAAUGUAGGAAAGAAAUAUGGGCGGGUGACAGGGUAUUUAAUGGUGC